UGGGGUAAUUCCACAUUCAAGAUGGAGGUGAUGGACAUCAGUCUUCAGUAUGUGUAGCUUUGUUCAGUAUUCAUGAAAAACCACACUGGUCAUAUCAUAUAUCCAAAACCAAUUCCCUUCUCCUUGUCAACAUUGGGAUGCAGUGCAGCCAGUGUAAAAAUAUUGGCUGUCCAUGACACCAGUCCAAUAUCCCUCCCAUUCCACAACCCAAUCUGUCCUUUAGGUCAAGGGUCAAAACCAAAAGAGAAAUUCUGCCAGCUGAAAACGUGUAGAAAUGUCCCAGUCAGUCACCAGACUUGUUCAUUCAGCCUACACCACCAAAUCACCUCCCAAAACCUUAAUCCCCCACUGCUAUCGAGUUACACUACCUUGUGUGGGAAAGCAUUUGUCAAAGUUAGAGGAACUAGUAUUAACUCAGACUAACUCAAACCCCACAUAAAUCAGGUGUCGUUCUUUUCUAUUUGAGGUACAAACUGCCGUCACAUUGCAAUGGCAAUUUCAGAGAAUACUUCCGCUGGCCAGACAGAAAAUGCAGAAGUAGCUUUAAAAAAAAAUCCCAUUACUUUGGUAAUUCUAGCCCACCUUGGAUAUAACAAAAGCUGACGAGAAGCUCUGCCUUCCUCUUCUUUUGUGCUGGGAGAGAGAGUAACACGAUCUCCGGCCGGUCGUGACCUCACAAUAACCCUACGACUGAGGACCAUUUACCUCACUGUGGCUUGGCUCAGAAACCACCUGCGUUUGGGAAUUCUAGGAUGAAUAGAAUGUGUCAAUAAAAAACCUGUUGUUGCUGUUUGAUUUCUGUUGUAAAAUGCUUCGUUCAGCAACGGAGGUGGACAUGACAGUGACUAGCUAACUAUGAGCUAUUGGUAUAUUUUAGGAGGUGGACAUGACAGUGACUAGCUAACUAUGAGCUAUUGGUAUAUUUUAGGAGGUGGACAUGACAGUGACUAGCUAACUAUGAGCUAUUGGUAUAUUUUAGGAGGUGGACAUGACAGUGACUAGCUAACUAUGAGCUAUUGGUAUAUUUUAGGAGGUGGACAUGACAGUGACUAGCUAACUAUGAGCUAUUGGUAUAUUUUAGGAGGUGGACAUGACAGUGACUAGCUAACUAUGAGCUAUUGGUAUAUUUUAGGAGGUGGACAUGACAGUGACUAGCUAACUAUGAGCUAUUGGUAUAUUUUAGGAGGUGGACAUGACAGUGACUAGCUAACUAUGAGCUAUUGGUAUAUUUUAGGAGGUGGACAUGACAGUGACUAGCUAACUAUGAGCUAUUGGUAUAUUUUAGGAGGUGGACAUGACAGUGACUAGCUAACUAUGAGCUAUUGGUAUAUUUUAGGAGGUGGACAUGACAGUGACUAGCUAACUAUGAGCUAUUGGUAUAUUUUAGGAGGUGGACAUGACAGUGACUAGCUAACUAUGAGCUAUUGGUAUAUUUUAGGAGGUGGACAUGACAGUGACUAGCUAACUAUGAGCUAUUGGUAUAUUUUAGGAGGUGGACAUGACAGUGACUAGCUAACUAUGAGCUAUUGGUAUAUUUUAGGAGGUGGACAUGACAGUGACUAGCUAACUAUGAGCUAUUGGUAUAUUUUAGGAGGUGGACAUGACAGUGACUAGCUAACUAUGAGCUAUUGGUAUAUUUUAGGAGGUGGACAUGACAGUGACUAGCUAACUAUGAGCUAUUGGUAUAUUUUAGGAGGUGGACAUGACAGUGACUAGCUAACUAUGAGCUAUUGGUAUAUUUUAGGAGGUGGACAUGACAGUGACUAGCUAACUAUGAGCUAUUGGUAUAUUUUAGGAGGUGGACAUGACAGUGACUAGCUAACUAUGAGCUAUUGGUAUAUUUUAGGAGGUGGACAUGACAGUGACUAGCUAACUAUGAGCUAUUGGUAUAUUUUAGGAGGUGGACAUGACAGUGACUAGCUAACUAUGAGCUAUUGGUAUAUUUUAGGAGGUGGACAUGACAGUGACUAGCUAACUAUGAGCUAUUGGUAUAUUUUAGGAGGUGGACAUGACAGUGACUAGCUAACUAUGAGCUAUUGGUAUAUUUUAGGAGGUGGACAUGACAGUGACUAGCUAACUAUGAGCUAUUGGUAUAUUUUAGGAGGUGGACAUGACAGUGACUAGCUAACUAUGAGCUAUUGGUAUAUUUUAGGAGGUGGACAUGACAGUGACUAGCUAACUAUGAGCUAUUGGUAUAUUUUAGGAGGUGGACAUGACAGUGACUAGCUAACUAUGAGCUAUUGGUAUAUUUUAGGAGGUGGACAUGACAGUGACUAGCUAACUAUGAGCUAUUGGUAUAUUUUAGGAGGUGGACAUGACAGUGACUAGCUAACUAUGAGCUAUUGGUAUAUUUUAGGAGGUGGACAUGACAGUGACUAGCUAACUAUGAGCUAUUGGUAUAUUUUAGGAGGUGGACAUGACAGUGACUAGCUAACUAUGAGCUAUUGGUAUAUUUUAGGAGGUGGACAUGACAGUGACUAGCUAACUAUGAGCUAUUGGUAUAUUUUAGGAGGUGGACAUGACAGUGACUAGCUAACUAUGAGCUAUUGGUAUAUUUUAGGAGGUGGACAUGACAGUGACUAGCUAACUAUGAGCUAUUGGUAUAUUUUAGGAGGUGGACAUGACAGUGACUAGCUAACUAUGAGCUAUUGGUAUAUUUUAGGAGGAGGACAUGACAGUGACUAGCUAACUAUGAGCUAUUGGUAUAUUUUAGGAGGUGGAGACAGAGAAACAGAGAAAGAAACAGGACAAUUAGGAUGGAUCUCAUGUUUCAGUCAUGAGAAGAUGCCACACCCUUUCUCUAGCCGAACUAAAUGUCAUCUAUUCUCUGCGUCACCAGCCUGUCUGAGUGACCCAAGAUAUCCCUGGAGACAGUCACAGACAGACGGGCACUGCAAUGUUGUCGUAAACAUCUCAUUAUACUUACAGAGAGAAACAAACUAAAAAGGUCCAUUAUGUUACUCGUAGCACCUUUAAUAGUAGACAAGACUUGGAUCUGAGCUGGGUCUUUGUCAGGUCCAACAGACACAGCAACAGGCAGAGACCCAGAGGGGGA